AUUAGGAAUGGACACAUAGCUUCUCUGUUAGUCUAUAUCUACAACGUUCUACUUCCGGGAUUGCUCUGGUGCCGACGGAAAUUCUGCCGGAUGUCCCUCUUUUCGGCCGGGUGU